AACGAACGCUGGCGGCAGGCCUAACACAUGCAAGUCGAGCGGACAUCUUCGGAUGUUAGCGGCGGACGGGUGAGUAACGCGUGGGAACGUGCCCUUUGCUUCGGAAUAGCCUCGGGAAACUGGGAGUAAUACCGGAUGUACCCUUUGGGGGAAAGAUUUAUCGGCAAAGGAUCGGCCCGCGUUGGAUUAGGUAGUUGGUGGGGUAAUGGCCUACCAAGCCGACGAUCCAUAGCUGGUUUGAGAGGAUGAUCAGCCACACUGGGACUGAGACACGGCCCAGACUCCUACGGGAGGCAGCAGUGGGGAAUCUUAGACAAUGGGGGAAACCCUGAUCUAGCCAUGCCGCGGGAGCGAUGAAGGCCUUAGGGUUGUAAAGCUCUUUCACCGGGGAAGAUAAUGACGGUACCCGGAGAAGAAGCCCCGGCUAACUCCGU
rnacentral:rRNA from 1 species